UUCGUUUUUGGUUUUUUUAUAUAAUUGGCGAUCCCCUCCGGUUGGCUUAUAUCCCCAAUGGCUCAACACGUUAGCAAGCAAUAAAUCAACUAUUAUGCAAGCAAUUAUUGCCGCAUAGUUGAAUGCAAGUGGAUGUACAUAGAUGUCUAUAUAUUCUAACAUUUAGAAAACUUGUAUGGCCGCCAAAGUAAGUCGAGGUUGAGUCAUAUAAACUUAUGGGGUUAUCUCAUACAUGGGUUUGUGCGUUGGUUCUUCUUAUCAUUAUUGUGUGUCACAUGAGUGUAAUCACUCAUGGAGAUGAAACAAUCGAGGCUGGGAAAUGGAGUUGUCGAGAGUGUGAACUUAACCCACGUAGAUGUCGUCCGCGUGCUCGCUGUCGUCCAAGAGGUGGACCACCUGGUCGUGGCGGAGGAUUUGGAGAAGGUCGUGGUCAAGGUCUUGGGGGAGGUGGCAAAGGUGUAGCCGUGGUGGCAAUGCCACCUUAGCAGUGAUUGCGAAAUAGGUAGUCCCUUACUGCCUUUGGAUAGAGGCAAUGGAAGUGAACAAUCCUUAAUCGGUAUAAAGUUUAUAUAUUUGUCAUUUGUGUAUAAAGUUAUAUCGUAGUGUGUUUGAACUUUGAACUUCUAAAGUUUGCCCACAAUGGAUUCGAAUUUUAAAGAAGUGCGUGAACUUAGAUUCUAUUUUGUAGUAAACCUAGUACUUAUAUUUUGUAACUUUUUUAAAUAUUUAAUCAUUGUAUAAAUACUAAUUAUAGUGUUGGCACCGUAACAAAUCAAACCAAUAUCCAUCGAAUCCUCCCGAGUAACAAAAGCGCCACAACGUACGGACACCACUACCUAGUUACUUUUAUAAUACUUUUAACGAGUAACUUUAUAACAAGUUUCCAAUAUGUUUCACUAAAACUCACUAAACUUUUUUUUCUUUAUCUAUUUAAAAUAACUCGGAUUUGAUUUAUUUUUCAAACUCCCAAUAUUAUACAAUUAUCUAAGUUACCUUGAUACGAUAAUUUGGCAUGUAAAAACCUUUUUUUCGUUCCUAAUAAUAAAAUACAGUGACAUGACAUUUUAAUUGCUUUAAAUUAGGCCUGAAAGAUAUGGAUUUAUCAUCCAUUAAUGAUCCAACUUAAAUGGAUCAUGAUCCGAUCUAUGAUCCAACAUAAUGGAUCAUGAUCCGAUCCAUAUCCAAAUAAUUUUAAAUAGAUGGAUCACUAUUCGGAUCGAUCCACAUUAAAAGAAUAUUAUAAAAAAACUCUAAAAAAUAAGAAAAACAAAACAUUAUAAAAAAAUCCAAAAGAAUAAAAAAAUUGUACAAAAUAAAAAAAAUCUAAAAAUUAGAAAAAUUCUAAAAAAAUCUUUAAAAAAUUUAAAAAUUCUAAAAAAUAAAAAAAAUCUAUAAAUUCUGUAGCCAUGAAUAAGAUUUUAUAUGUAAAGUUCCUAUAUAUGCAAUUGUAUAUCAUACUAGAAACCAUCAACUCCAUUGGUUCUAACUUCAUUGGUUCCACUUAUUGACUCCUCAAACUCGGCUGUUGAAAGACUAUCUAUCUACCCUCGUAACUCGUAAGUCGUAACUAGCCUACAUCAUUAUAAGAUCACAAUGGUAAGUGGCCAACAAAAAUUAAUAUAGGAAAUUUGUAAACUGAAACUAUUUGCAUAAAAAACAAAAAAACAUCAAUAAACAUAAUGAACCUGUUGAACAGAACUUCUAAUUACACUCAUGAAACCGAAUACCCGCUUACCCGAACUAUAUAUCCGAAAUCCCUCUUGAGUUGUAGGUUGUUUGGGAAUUAGGUAGUUUACUAUUUGUUUUUCCUUUUAUGUAAGCGUCAUGUAAGUUGGCUAAGAGUGACUGUCAUGUAAGUUGGCUACUUAAGCAGCCUAGUAGGUUGAAUGAGAAAGAGUGACUUUUAGUAGAAAUCAAGAAUUAAAAAGAGUAAAAUCUGAAUGUUUAAUCUCACCAUUUAGACUAUUUCAUAGGUUAACCAUGAACUUUCAACAUAUAUGAUUGCUUAGAAAUAUAAUGAGAAAAUCAAGUAACUUGGACAAAUGCAGGUAUAAAAAAAAAAAAAACAAAACCAAGUAGCAACUAACAUAUUUUUUUCUUCACAGUCAUCGAAUACGUGGCCAUAAUUAUGUCGGACUAGUUGCAAGUUAAAGCGUGCAUGAUUCAAAGUAAAAGAAAAAAUUUUUCCUUUAAAUCUAAAUAUUUUAUCAUGGUUUAUGCUUUAUGCUUAUAAAUAUGAUUAGAAAACCUCCCCAGUCUAUAAAAGGAAAAACGAGCAGGACAUCACAACAAUGCUGACGUAGCAGUCAUAUAGGCUAACCAAUAAUGCCAAUCUUAUGUCAUUUUUGCAUCAUCAAUUUAUAUCCUCAAUUAAUAUUUAAUAUUAAUAUUAAUAAUACACAAAUAACAAUGAUAGUUCUGGCUCCACUUUCAAAAUUCAAACUAUACUUUCAAUCCCUCCCCCUCUCUCUCAAAUCCAGAGUGCCUCCCAUCUUUCAAAAUUCAAACCAUCUUUCCAUCUAGGGUUUCAAGAUCCGCAUUUAGGGCUGUGAUGAUAACCUGGUAGUCAUCAGUUCGGUUCCUACUUCCGUUUCAUUUACAAUCUGAUUCCAAUGCUCGGUUUUGUUUGAUUAGGUUUGAUUCGGUUUCAUCUUUCUGACACUACAAUUAAGCAUAUUUUCUUUCUUAACGUAGAUUUUUUUUAAUUGCUAGUGUUGUUUGUUGAUUUUAACGUAAAAGAAGAACGAAGGUGUGUUGGGGUGAUGGCUGGAUCUGAUUUUUUUCUAGGGUUUCUCGUGAAGUUGAUGUAACACCCUAAAACGUAAACUCUUUAAUUUAAUAUUAGAGUGGUACUCUUUUAUUUAAAUGAAUAAAUAAAAGAUGAUGUUGUGUAUAUAUACAUACAUACAUAUGUUGUAGAAAUUAACAGGGUAAUAACCUAGUUAAAAUAUGUACCACAUGUUAUGGUUAAAAUAUGGGCAUUGUUAAUUAAGUUAAGAUGCAAGUUAAGGGACCAAAAUUGUCAAAUGGCUAAACCUUAAUAAUUCCCUGCAUUUUAACUUAAAGAACACACACAUUGUGUGUAUAUGUCGACAUUUACAAGAAGGAGAAGGGAGGAACCCUAAACUCAUCCAUUGUCCCAAAUCAAGAAUUUCCUCACUAAAAUGGGGUGUUGGACGCUUGAAAUUAUGGAUUUUUACCCUCCAUUGCUCAUCUAAGACUGUGGGGUAUGGUGGGGUUUGGGUUGGGGGCAUGAGUUGACACGUGGAGUUGAAGCCCCACCACCGGUGAGUAACGUGUCCGUGGGGUAUGGCGAGGCUUGGGUUGGGGCGUGGCUUGGCAGUUUAUUAAAAAAUAAUUACAUAGGAUGGCUAGCCUGCCCCACGCCCGGCCAACAAAGCGAAUAGGAGCCCGCCACAUAGGAUGGCUAGCCCGCCCCACGCCCGGCUUUAAACUCCCGCCCCUUGGGCCACGCCCCAACCCAAGCCCACCCGGGGUGGUAGCUUGGGCGUUUUCCCCACCCCACGCCCCAACCCAAGCCCCAUACCCCGCAGUCUAACUCAAGGCAUGAACUAGAUUUAUGAUUUGGUAAAGAGGGUUUUAUGGAAAACUUGAUGCAUUCAUCAAGGUAGAUGAAAUUGGCCAUGUUUUGUUGUUCUUGUGGCAUUUAGCUACUUGAAUUAGUGAAUGCAUGAUUAGAUUUGAAGUUUGAUGUUAGUAUAUUGUUAAUUAUGCUAGAAUUUAAGGAUUUAGAACACUUAAAUGGGCUGGAGAAAUUUGAUGUUGUGUGUUGCACACAAGGUGCUUGAUGAAACGCUUGAACAAGAAGAGAUAACAAAGCUGAUUGGGAUUAAAAAUUAUUGGGCAACAGUUUUUAAAAAAUCAUAUAAAAUAAAAUCACUGGAACGACCUGUGAGGUUGAGCCAUAUGCUCAAAAAGCUAUUAAAACAUACUACGUUUUAUGUUUGAACAUGUUUGUCAAAUUCUAAAGUUAAAUGGGUCAAAAUAGUGUCCAAAUUUGGCAUAACUGUUUUGACAGCAAGCUGAUUGGAAGCAUUUUGACCUCUGAGCUGAUCUUGUGAAAAUAUUAAUUAAUUCUAGGAAGCUUGGAUUGAGCUGAUUCUUUUUGGGCUGGAAAGAUCUUUGAGUAUAUUACAUUUCAUCUUUGAUCAUGAAAGGCUAAAUAAAACCGUAAAGUGGUCGAAAGAGUCGAUUUCAGCAACUAUAUUAUAAAGUUGCUGCACAUUGUAUUGAUAAACUUAAUCCAAGAAAGGUUGUAUUUUGUUUAUACUUUGCGUUGUUCAUAAAACAAUGGUUUAAUGAACAUUAAGUAUGUUAUUUGGUUUAUUGCAAGUAUUUAAACUACCUACAAAUAAGCUUGUCAAAGAAGUUGUGAAAAUGAGAAAAGAAUGAUUAAAGCAUAUAAUACAUAUGGGUAGUUUGACUUUUAAGAAAGUCAAACUGACCUAUGAUUUAGUUAACUAAAUUAUAUGCAAGAAAACCCAUAGGAAAUGGUUGUCAUAAUAUGAAACGACUAAACUAACCAUCUUAUGGGUAAUAUGAUAGUUUGACUCUUGACGAGCUAGGUGAAUCUUGGAGGAGAUGAUCAAACGGGAUAAAGACACGAGGAAGACUUGCUUGGAUGAAAGGUAACUCGGGUGAAGCUUCGGGAAGUCAAGCUGGAGCGAACGCACGUCUAAAGGAUAAGCUUUAAAGUUAAAGAAAUGUCUGGUGCAACCGGAGGAGAUACGAUAUCCCACAUAACUGAAGAGAUGCAAGAAAAGAUUUCCGAAGAAGUUGGAAAAGCCUUGGAAGCUAGUCUACCACAAUUCAUGGAUAGACUACAAACCAUGAUUCUAUCGGUGGUAGAAGACAAGAUAAAUGAACUCAAGGAGAGUCUCACACAAGAAAGAGACAAGGGUAAGGUGAAGGCAUGCCCGUAUAACAAGUUUAUGGCAUGUAAAUCCCCAAUUUACAAUGGCGAAGUUGAUCCAAUCGUUUGUCAAUGAUGGAUUAGCGACAUUGAAGGUGUUUUCAAUAGAACGCAUUGCGAUGAGAUCGACUUCGUAGCUUACAGAACCGUUCAAUUAAGAGGUCAAGCAAAAUAUUGGUGGGACAAUCUUAAAAAGGAACAAGGAAUCGAGACCACGAUAACUAUGACAUGGGAGGAGUUCAAAGUACCAUUCCUUAAACACCAUAGCCCGAAGGCAGUGAUCAAUAAAAUAAAAGAAUAAUUUAUUCAAUUAAGACAAAAAGGAGAAUCAAUUGAUAAGAUCACGGGGGUGUUUCUUGACAAGCUAAGGUUCUGCGACAAGUUAGUGCAGACGGAAGAGCAGAAGAUUUACUACUAUUAUAACAUGCUAAGUGCUGAGUAUCGAGAGUUUAUGACUCCCUCGAAAUAUGAACAUCUCACAGAAUUUGUAAAUGCCGCACGAGAAAGAGAUAUCGAGUUGAAGAAACAUAUCGAAAGAGGUGAAAGGAGGGCGUUGGAUGCAAAUCCAAGCCCCACUAAGAAACAAAAGCCGAACGAGUUUUCGAAGAAGGGAAACACAAAAGGGGGAUCACCUCAAUCUAAAACAUGUGGGAAAGCACAUCGGGGCGAAUGUUACUUCAAAAAAAAGCCAUGUGCUAUGUGUGGAAAGGUGGGGCACGGGGCUUCCAAUUGCCCUGGUAAAGUGUCGCUGUGCUAUAAAUGCUAUAAACCGAGACACAAGAAGUCUGAGUGCCCGGAAUUGAUUGGAAGGAAUGAAAAUACGGACACGAAGACCAAAGACCCGAAAUCAAAGGCGACGUCCUUCCACAUAACGGCGGCCGAGGCCAAAGUCGAACCCGAUGUGAUUUCUGUGACACCCGGCUUUUCAGGCCGUACCGUACAAUUGUAACAUGUGUUGUGAAUAGAUAAAAGGCCAUAUUUGACUGAUUAUGAUGUUUAUAUGUGAAAUUUAAUGAGUUGGUAAAUUUAAACUUUGGUAAAAAUUAUGUUGGCCACGGUAAGAUAAACGCUUAUCGCGUAACGGUUAAAAUACGAAACGAACGUCGGUGACCACCCGAUCAGUGUUAAAAUCCAAAAAUAGUCUUUUGUGAUUAGAAUAAAAAUUUUAAUCAUAUUCGUGAGGAAGAAUAAAUUAAAACGCUAAGAAACUCUAUUUUUCGAGUUUAAGCGCGUACCGCGCAAUGCAGCGCGUGUACCGACAAAAUACUGUCAACACAGCCUGUCAAGGCAACUGACCAUCAUUUUAGUAAUAAUUUGAUAACUUUAUUACUUUAGAAUGAUAAAAAUAAAUAAAAACGCAUAAAUCCCUAUUUUUGCGAUUUUAAGCGCGUACCGCGAAGCACAUCGCGCAUACUGCCAAAUACCGGCAACGUAGCGAGUCCCGGCAAACAAAAUAUUGUUCAAUAACAUUUUGGUGAUUUUAUUUUUAUAGAUUGUUAAAAAUAAUUUAAAACGCACUAAAACAGGAUUAAAACGCUAGAUAAAAUAUCCGGU